AUGAUUCGUGGGACGUCCUGCCGGUGGUGGCGAGUCGAAGGUGCGCACCCGUCGUGGUUUCCACUUCGGUUCUUGCGCGCCCGAGGCGGACCCCGAUGAAAUCCUACCGCGGUGCUCUUCGCCGAGUGUCGAGGUGGGCCGGCACGUUUACUUUGAACAAAUUAGAGUGCUUAAAGCAGGCCUGUUGCGCCUGAAUACUGUGUGCAUGGAAUAAUGGAAUAGGACCUCGGUUCUAUUUUGUUGGUUUUCGGAACCCGAGGUAAUGAUUAAUAGGGACAGGCGGGGGCAUUCGUAUUGCGACGUUAGAGGUGAAAUUCUUGGAUCGUCGCAAGACGGACCGAAGCGAAAGCAUUUGCCAAGUAUGUUUUCAUUAAUCAAGAACGAAAGUUAGAGGUUCGAAGGCGAUCAGAUACCGCCCUAGUUCUAACCAUAAACGAUGCCAGCUAGCGAUCCGCCGAAGUUCCUCCGAUGACUCGGCGGGCAGCUCCCGGGAAACCAAAGCUUUUGGGUUCCGGGGGAAGUAUGGUUGCAAAGCUGAAACUUAAAGGAAUUGACGGAAGG
rnacentral:rRNA from 1 species